rnacentral:misc_RNA from 1 species
UUCAGCGGGCGGCGCGCAAUGUGCACCGCGCCAGCGUUCGAAACGCGUCGGUGUCGCUCUUUCAUACGCUGUGACAAUUCCUUGUCAACCACGCGAAUACUUUCUCCAUUGCGCUUUCGUUUCCGAGCGGGCUCGCGAAUCGACGCCAAUCGUCGCUGCUGAAAUCGUCACGUUACGCUCGCGAGAGAUUACAAGAUCCGCGCAUUAUAGUUUGCUUCAUCGUCGUCCCCUUCGCGCGUCAUUCUUCAAUCACAUCUGUUUCCAUUUCGCCUUUGCCGUAGCAAAAGAAUCAUCGUUCGCGUUGCGAUCAUGAUCCACGCGAGGAUCCACGCGGCGCGGUAACGCCGCGAUGCGCGACUGUCGCAAUUUUCGGAAUCGUUCGGCUCGUCACGUGGUCACUUUCGAAUCCGCCCGAUCGGUCGUUCGUUCGCGCGCCUCCGUCAUUUGUCGCCGUCGAAACCGCUCGUUCGUUCUCGUCCUGGUUAAACGUUAAACGCGGCGAUCGAAUGCAUCCCGUUGGAUGCUGCCGGCGGCGUGCGCGGUCGAUCUGGAAGCUCGUGCUCGCCGCGGUACCGUGAGCAGCGAGUGCUGCUUCCGCUCCAGGUAGCGCCGGUGGCCGCGAUGGACGUGCGCGUGGUCGUCGGUGCACCGGUUGCGGAAGAGACGCCAGUGGCGGCGACAGCGACGACGACGGUGACGGCGACGCGGGGCAUUGCGACGCCUUCGCCGGUGCCCUCGGUGCCGAGCACCGUCGCGGCCACCACCGCCGGCAACGGCGGCGGUGGCGGCGGAGCGGUCGUCGCGACGCCCGCGUCCGCACCCUGCACCCCGCAGAAUCCCGUCGUCGUCGUGGCGAGCCCCUCCGGCAACCAUCAACCACCGGCCGGCGUGCCGGUCGCUGCUAGGAUACUCAGCAGGAAUGUCAACGGCACCCUGAUACAGACGUCCGUGCCGCAGAACGAGGCUGAGCUACAGUUGUAUAGGGUGAUGCAACGCGCCUCGCUGUUGGGAUACUAUGACACGCUCCUUGAAAUGGGAGGUGACGAUGUGCAACAAUUGUGUGACGCGGGUGAAGAGGAGUUUCUAGAGAUUAUGGCGUUAGUCGGCAUGGCGAGCAAGCCGCUUCAUGUCAGGAGGCUUCAGAAAGCUCUGCAAGAGUGGCUCACCAAUCCCUCAUUGUUUCAAACGCCGGUCGUGCCGACGAAUGCCACCGCUGCCAAAAGCCCCGCCGCAGCCGUAAGUUUCGCGUGCGCGAGCCCGCGGCCGCAGAUGCAGAGUCUGUCGACCGCUUUCACCGCGACUUCCCAAACUUCCCUAACGCCGGCGUCCUACGUCUCGACAACACCUCACGUACCGUUGACGCCACUAUCUUGCCGGAGCGUCAGCCCGGUUGCGCCGGUCACCAGCGUGUCCGCAUCGGCACCCUCCACGACUUUCCGCCAGAGUCCGAGCCCGAACACGUCGAUACCUUACACGACUACGCACAGUCCCAAUGUGUUGCAGGUAGGGACGUGCGAGUCUUCGUGCGGUAGCGGCACGACGCCGAGUCCGAGCGGCGGUGGCGGCGGCGCACCUGCAAGCCCAACGCAACCUACGCCGACCCUCCUGCAGUCGCAGGUGCAGCGACUCGCCGAGGCCGCGGAAAGGCUCGUCGCUACCAUAAGGCCCCUCGACCCCAAACCCCAUAAUGUGAAAAAAAAACUCUGCAAGAACUUGGAGAUGGUAAUGACGAUGUCCGAUAGUGACCCGCGCAAGAUGGACGAAAUCCGGAAGUACGCGGCGAUUUAUGGCAGGUUCGAUUGCAAGAGAAAACCGGAGAAACCUCUCACGCUGCACGAGGUGUCCGUGAAUGAAGCGGCGGCGCAAAUUUGCAGAUUCGUGCCCGCCCUUCUCACGAGGAGGGAUGAGUUGUUCCCUCUGGCACGUCGUGUCGUCCGGGAUUCUGGUUACCAUUACUCCAAGAGUCAAUACUUGUCGAUGUCCAGGUCACGCGAAAACGGUGAGGAGACCGACGGAGAACGCUUAAAACGCCAGAAACUGGAGCUGGAGGGUGAGGGUGAGGACGCGACGCAGGAGGAGUUGGAUCUUCGUUGUUCUGGAACGGACAUUAACAAUUCUAUUGCGAGAAGACACAGGUCGUCGAGUCUGGAGGAAGAAGAGUAACAACGGCAUGUUCAGCGCUAGCGUGGAGGAGAUCAGCGACUCAGAUAGCCAAUUCUCGUUCUCAAAUGAGGAAUCUUCAUCCAUGCAUGACACAAACGAGGCGGAGGCGGAGAACACCGACAAAGAAGGUGACUUUAAUCUAAAG